GAUGAACGCUGGCGGCGUGCUUAACACAUGCAAGUCGAACGGACAGGCCAUGCUUUUGUUGGGUGCUCGAGUGGCGAACGGGGGAGUAUCACGCGUGUAACAUGCCCUUGUAUUUGGGGUAAAUUUACGAAACUGGGGCUAAUACCGGAUAGGAGCUCCUGCAGCACGGUGGUGGUUGGUAAGUUUCGGUGGUUGGGGAUGGUCUCGAGGCUUAUCAGCUUGUUGGUGAGGUUGUGGCUUACCAAGGCUUUGACGGGUAGCCGGCCUGAGAGGGUGACCGGCCACAUUGGGACUGAGAGACGGCGCAGACGCCUACGUGAGGCAGCAGUCGGGAAUAUUGCGCAAUGAGCGGAAGCCUGAUACAGCAACGCCGCGUGCGUGAUGACGGCCUACGGGUUGUAAACCGCUUUCGCCUGUGACGAACCCUGAGUGACGGCAAUGGAUAAAGAAGCACCGGCUAACUACGUG
rnacentral:rRNA from 1 species